UUCACAUUUCAGUGCUUGUAUAGUGUUAUGUGAAAGUAUUAAUAUCUGAAAUGUGUGACUUCCUCAAAGGAAACUGACACCAGCAGUGUUCAAACAGUUCAUAUGUCCUGUGCUGCAGAGCUGAGCUCUAAGUAAUAAUCUGCAUCUGAACCAUGGAGGAAAUUUAUGCCAAUGUUGAAUACCCCAAACAUAACAAUUCAAAACCUUCACCAGGUCACACAGGAACAAGCGGCCGUGAAAGGAGUUUCCAUUUAGGAAUUAUUAUCUGUCUGGGAAUGCUGAGUGUUUUCCUGCUGAUUGGACUCAUCACCCUUGGUGUUUACUAGAAAGUGUGUCCUGAAGGAUGGAGAAUGUUCUGUCAUAGCUGUUACGUAUUAUCUGAAAAGCUUGGUUCCUGGGAUGAAGGUAGAGAUGACUGCAGAAGCAAAGGAGCAGAUCUGGUGGUGAUAGAAAGCCUUGAAGACAAGACAUUUAUAUCUAGUUACAUUAAGGAACGUGCUUGGAUUGGUUUGAAUGACAAAGAAGAGGAAGGAAAUUGGAAAUGGGUCGAUGGAACUCCACUGACUCUACAGAACUGGGUGGCAAAACAACCGGAUAACGGUGAUGGAAACCCAAAGUGGGGUGAAGAGGACUGCGUUCAUGUAGAGCCUGAUGCAUCAUGGAAUGAUCUCUCAUGUUCAGCCUCUCUAAAGUGGAUCUGUGAAAAACAUACAACAGAAUAAUUCAUUGACCACUGUCUGACAUGCAUUUACUAAUUUAGCUGUGACUUUUAUUCUAUCCUAUCAGUCAUUUUCACUCCAUUUUAACUUUUUUUU